rnacentral:rRNA from 1 species
CAUGCAAGUCGAGGGGCAGCGGGAUUGAAGCUUGCUUCAAUUGCCGGCGACCGGCGCACGGGUGAGUAACGCGUAUCCAACCUUCCGUACACUCAGGGAUAGCCUUUCGAAAGAAAGAUUAAUACCUGAUGGUAUGAUGAAAUUGCAUGAUAGCAUCAUUAAAGAUUUAUCGGUGUACGAUGGGGAUGCGUUCCAUUAGGUAGUAGGCGGGGUAACGGCCCACCUAGCCUACGAUGGAUAGGGGUUCUGAGAGGAAGGUCCUCCACAUUGGAACUGAGACACGGUCCAAACUCCUACGGGAGGCAGCAGUGAGGAAUAUUGGUCAAUGGACGAGAGUCUGAACCAGCCAAGUAGCGUGAAGGAUGAAGGUCCUACGGAUUGUAAACUUCUUUUAUAAGGGAAUAAAACCUCCCACGUGUGGGAGCUUGUAUGUACCUUAUGAAUAAGCAUCGGCUAACUCCGUGCCAGCAGCCGCGGUAAUACGGAGGAUGCGAGCGUUAUCCGGAUUUAUUGGGUUUAAAGGGAGCGCAGACGGGUCGUUAAGUCAGCUGUGAAAGUUUGGGGCUCAACCUUAAAAUUGCAGUUGAUACUGGCGUCCUUGAGUGCGGUUGAGGUGUGCGGAAUUCGUGGUGUAGCGGUGAAAUGCUUAGAUAUCACGAAGAACUCCGAUUGCGAAGGCAGCACACUAAGCCGUAACUGACGUUCAUGCUCGAAAGUGUGGGUAUCAAACAGGAUUAGAUACCCUGGUAGUCCACACGGUAAACGAUGGAUACUCGCUGUUGGCGAUAUACGGUCAGCGGCUUAGCGAAAGCGUUAAGUAUCCCACCUGGGGAGUACGCCGGCAACGGUGAAACUCAAAGGAAUUGACGGGGGCCCGCACAAGCGGAGGAACAUGUGG